rnacentral:rRNA from 1 species
GACGAACGCUGGCGGCGUGCUUAACACAUGCAAGUCGAACGGUGAAGCGCCUUCCUUUUUGGUGGGUGUGGAUGAGUGGCGAACGUGUGAGUAACACGUGAGUAACCUGCCCCCUUCUUCUGUAUAACCGCAUGAAAGUGUGGCUAAUACGGGAUAUUCUGGGUCUGUCGCAUGAUGGGUCUGGGAAAGAUAUUGUUUCGGUGGGGGAUGGGCUCGCGGCCUAUCAGCUUGUUGGUGGGGUGAUGGCCUACCAAGGCGGUGACGGGUAGCCGGCCUGAGAGGGUGGACGGUCACACUGGGACUGAGACACGGCCCAGACUCCUACGGGAGGCAGCAGUGGGGAAUAUUGCACAAUGGGCGCAAGCCUGAUGCAGCGACGCCGCGUGAGGGAUGGAGGCCUUCGGGUUGUGAACCUCUUUCGCCAGUGAAGCAGGCCUGCCUCGUUUGUGGGUGGGUUGACGGUAGCUGGAUAAGAAGCGCCGGCUAACUACGUG